rnacentral:lncRNA from 1 species
CCACAAGCAAAAAACAAAAAUAAGUACCUGAAAGAUAGAAUUGGGAGACAAAGAUGGAAGUGCAGCAAAGAAACAAAAAAAAUGAUAAAGGUGGAAAUGACAUGAAAUAUGCACGGAAUGUAACUGGAGUUAUUUAAAAAAAAAAAGGCAACUGUGGGAAUGCUGACCUCCACACCUUUCCAAAGAUGCCAGAUUUGCCCCCAGGGGAAUGCACGAAUGAAAAGUUGAGGAAAGAGGCUCGGAUAAAAGGACUGUAGGUCCCAGAGGACAGACGAGGCAUUCAAGGCACUGUGACGGGGAACGCCCAGAGGAUAACGUGUUGAAAGUGAUACAAACAGGAUUCUGCCAAGACACGGAAAAGAUGCUCUCUGUGCACAAAACGACAUGUCCACGAGAAGACGAGACCCGUUCAAGCCACUCCUGUUAAGCUUUUCCUGCACAGAAAGAAAACAGUUCAAGUCUUCGUGUGUGUGAUGGUUUACAGUAUAAGCAGUGAUUAGCUUUGCUAUUUUUCUCAUUUCCCUACACACGCCUAACCAUCAGUGAAGAGUUAAGAAUGUCUCGUGGAAUAGUGUUAGUUUUCAUCACAUACGAUGACUUCAGGGUCCUGUCCAUCGCCGGCGAGGCCGGCUUGUGUGCACACGCACCACCCAUACGUACAGCAUACAGACAGGCGUGCAGUUUACCCAGCGAGCGUCCACACACUGCAAGGGUAACGCCGUCCUCUGAAAACCCCAGUGGUGCUACUUCUAGUGUCAGCCAAGGAAAGCCUUCUUUAAGACGAAUUAAAGGGAGACUGCACAGGAGCAAGAGCCUCGAUAGCAUCGAUUUCUGUGAACUCACUGUGAGUGGAUGGUUUAAGACUUUUCUUCCUUUUCAAAGCAUAUGAAAAAAUUAAAUUUUACAAAAUUUCAUUAAAAAGCAACAAGGCUUAUUUUGUGUUAAGCAUUUUUCAGUAAAAACUGGUUUACCCAGCAGGUUACCAACCGGUAUAACUUCCUUAACCAGUACCCAUAGAUACAUUUAUGAUAAGUGGUUCAUAAUGAUGAUUCUGGUUCACAGACCAAGAUAAAGAUGUGUUUCCUGAACUCUACAAUAAAAACUGAAUUAAGGUCAGUGGAUGAAAUGAAUUUCUUGGAAAAUCACAAAUCCACAUGUUAAUGUAGGUACAGACCUAAGUAUUUGAUGAACCCCAAACACCC